rnacentral:rRNA from 1 species
UACAGAGGGUGCGAGCGUUGUCCGGAAUCACUGGGCGUAAAGGGCGCGUAGGCGGCGCGGUAAGCGUGCGGUGAAAGCCCGGGGCUCAACCCCCGGGUCGGCCGUGCGGACUGCCGGGCUGGAGCACUGUAGAGGCAGGUGGAAUUCCGGGUGUAGCGGUGGAAUGCGUAGAGAUCCGGAAGAACACCGGUGGCGAAGGCGGCCUGACUGGGCAGUGGCUGACGCUGAGGCGCGACAGCGUGGGGAGCAAACAGGAUAGAU